rnacentral:rRNA from 1 species
UACAGAGGUCUCAAGCGUUGUUCGGAUUCAUUGGGCGUAAAGGGUGCGUAGGUGGCGGGGUAAGUCAGGUGUGAAAUCUCGGGGCUCAACCCCGAAACUGCACUUGAUACUGCCUUGCUCGAGUACUGGAGAGGAGAUUGGAAUUUACGGUGUAGCAGUGAAAUGCGUAGAUAUCGUAAGGAAGACCAGUGGCGAAGGCGGAUCUCUGGACAGUUACUGACACUGAGGCACGAAGGCCAGGGGAGCAAACGGG